AACGAACGCUGGCGGCAUGCCUAACACAUGCCAGUCGAACGAAGGCUUCGGCCUUUGUGUCUCACGGGUUCGUAACGCGUGGGAAUCUGCCCUUUGGUUCGGCAUAACUGCUGGAAUCGGCUGCUAUUACCGGAUGAUGACGAAAGUCCAAAGAUUUAUCGCCAGAGGUUGAGCCCGCGUUGGAUUAGGUAGUUGGUUGGGUAAAGGCCUACCAAGCCGACGAUCCAUAGCUGGUCUGGGAGGAUGAUCAGCCACACUGGGACUGAGACACGGCCCAGACUACUAAGGGAGGGAGGAGAGGGGAAUAUAGGAAAAUGGGCGGAAGCCUGAUCCAGCAAGGACGCGAGAGAGAUGAAGGCCGGAGGGUAGUAAAGCUCUAGUACCCGGGAAGAUAAUGACGGUACCGGGAGAAAAAGCCCCGGCUAACUCCGUG
rnacentral:rRNA from 1 species